AAAGCACUUUCAGUCGUGAGGAAGGUGGUGUAGUUAAUAGCUGCAUCAUUUGACGUUAGCGACAGAAGAAGCACCGGCUAACUCCGUGCCAGCAGCCGCGGUAAUACGGAGGGUGCGAGCGUUAAUCGGAAUUACUGGGCGUAAAGCGCAUGCAGGUGGUUUGUUAAGUCAGAUGUGAAAGACCCGGGGCUCAACCUCGGAAUAGCAUUUGAAACUGGCAGACUAGAGUACUGUAGAGGGGGGUAGGAAUUUCAGGUGUAGCGGUGAAAUGCGUAGAGAUCUGAAGGAAUACCGGUGGCGAAGGCGGCCCCCUCGGACAGAUACUGACACUCACGAUGCGAAAGCGUGGGGACGCAAACAGGAUUAGACUACCCUGGUAG
rnacentral:rRNA from 1 species